GUAAUCUAUCGGACUGAAAAGAAGGAAGACCAGAUUCACAAGCGACUGAAUUCUUAGAGUGUUGCCUCAUCUGUGGAUGAAGGUUCCAUCCCUGUCCACUGCUUAGAGACUGAGGUGUCACUGUUAUGGGUGUCAUAUACAGUAUCUGUCUUGGUAUGGAUGUGUAUCUCUAUUUACAUUCUAUAGCUGCAGUAACUGUAACCAGCUUGCGGACUCUCUCUCUCUCUCUCUGUCUGUCUGUCUCUCAUAGAUCCACCUCAGACAGUGAACAUUACUCUUCGUGAGACCUCUCAAACCUCAGCCAUAUGUGUAGCAGAUGGUAACCCACAACCCAACUACACCUGGAGCAGAGAGGGCCAGCCAUGGCCUGGCUCUUCAGUGAGAGCAGACACACUAAUUCUCCUCAGUCUCAGCUCUGAGCUGAAUCGUCUCUAUGUCUGUGAGGCCUCCAACCACUAUGGACGAGCAACUGGCUCCAUCUAUGUAAACACUUCCUCUGAGACCUCCGCUGCCUGUUGGGUUCUGCUCGUUGUCAUUCUAUGUCUGUUGCUGCUGCUUUUAUGGUACUGGUGUAAAUACAGAAUAUUUCCUCUGUAACUUCAGUUUCUAAAAAUCAAGCACUGAAAAAAUUAAUAUUUGUAUUGAAUACAUUGAUUUUGCGUUCAAAUCUAUGUUUUCUUUUUCUGGACUAUAUCCAAAGAGUUCACCACUUGCAGGCAUCAUCACGGGUAUGUGACUACGUCAUUGUCCACCAUUAUUCUGUGACUAACCCAUCUCAGAUACUUUUUGCUAUGUAAUAAUAUAUAUAUAAUGUCUAAUGACAAGGUUGAGGAAGAUGAAGGGGAUGUAUCAGCUAUUUAACACUCCAAACCAAAUCAUCUUAUUACAUUUUGGUAUGUUGGAGUUGUUAUCUAAUAAUAAGGUCUAUUUAUUGUGUUAGCUCGAAGAAACCGCCGGACGGGCUGAGGUGACAGAAGUCAUUGUGAAAGGCUAGGAGAGGUCAGCAGCUUAAAGCAGCUGAUCAUUUUUCUAAAUGGAGUGGCUGCCCGAACUGUGUUUGUCUCUCCCCAGGACACCUUUUCCAUUUUCUAAAAAGUCCUGACAUUCUGUGCAUGUGUUAAUUUACUCAAUAAAAGCAGGUCGAACACAGGUCGCGCAGCCUCUACCUUUUCUUAAACAAGUCACCAUUGUCUCCUCUCUUCACCUCUCCUCUCUUCACGUACCUCUAAUCUCUUCAUGUACCUCUCCUCUCUUCACAUACCUCUCCUCUCUUCACGUACCUCUACUCUCUUCAAGUACCUCUCCGCUCUUCACGUACCUCUCCUCUCAUCACGUACCUCUCCUCUCUUCACGUACCUCUAAUCUCUUCACGUACCUCUCCUCUCUUCACGUACCUCUCCUCUCUUCACGUACCUCUAAUCUCUUCACGUACCUCUCCUCUCUUCACGUACAUCUCCUCUCUUCACAUACCUCUACUCUCUUCAAGUACCUCUCCUCUCUUCACGUACCUCUACUCUCUUCACGUACCUCUCCUCUCUUCACGUACCUCUCCGCUCUUCACGUACCUCUCCUCUCAUCACGUACCUCUCCUCUCUUCACGUACCUCUAAUCUCUUCACGU